GGAGUUAGCCGGUGCUUCUUCUGCGAGUAACGUCACAGAUGUAAGGUAUUAACUUACACCCUUUCCUCCUCGCUGAAAGUGCUUUACAACCCGAAGGCCUUCUUCACACACGCGGCAUGGCUGCAUCAGGGUUUCCCCCAUUGUGCAAUAUUCCCCACUGCUGCCUCCCGUAGGAGUCUGGGCCGUGUCUCAGUCCCAGUGUGGCUGAUCAUCCUCUCAGACCAGCUAGGGAUCGUCGCCUAGGUGAGCCUUUACCUCACCUACUAGCUAAUCCCACCUGGGCUUAUCCAUCAGCGCAAGGCCCGAAGGUCCCCUGCUUUCCCCCGUAGGGCGUAUGCGGUAUUAGCAGUCGUUUCCAACUGUUAUCCCCCACAAAUGGGCAAAUUCCCAGGCAUUACUCACCCGUCCGCCACUCGUCAUCUUCAAAAGCAAGCUUUUGAAAUGUUACCGCUCGACUUGCAUGUGUUAGGCCUGCCGCCAGCGUUCAAUCUGAGCCAUAAUCAAACUCUGA
rnacentral:rRNA from 1 species